rnacentral:rRNA from 1 species
AACGAACGCUGGCGGCAGGCUUAACACAUGCAAGUCGAACGCCCCGCAAGGGGAGUGGCAGACGGGUGGGUAACGCGUGGGAACGUGCCCUUCGCUUCGGAAUAUUCCCGGGAAACUGGGAGCAAUGCCGGAUACGCCGAAUUGGGAAAGAUUUAUCGGCGAAGGAUCGGCCCGCGUUAGAUUAGGUAGUUGGUGGGGUAAUGGCCUACCAAGCCUACGAUCUAUAGCUGGUCUGAGUGGAUGAUCAGCCACACUGGGACUGCGACACGGCCCAGACUCCUACGAGAGGCAGCAGUGUGGAAUCUUGGACAAUGGGCGCAAGCCUGAUCCAGCCGUGCCGCGUGAGUGAAGAAGGCCUUAGGGUUGUAAAACUCUUUCGCCGGUGAAGAUAAUGACGGUAGCCGGAGAAGAAGCCCCGGCUAACUUCGUGCCAGCCGCCGCAGUAACAC